AUCCAGCUGACCAGUCCCAAAUAGGACGAAACACGCGUCCUGUAU
rnacentral:hammerhead_ribozyme from 1 species